UGUAUAUACGUUGUCUGUACGAGAUUUAUUUAUCUGUCGGGUGCUUACGGGCUUCCGGUCUUAUUAUAUUUUAUUCUGCUGUCAAUCUGUCAUUUUUGGUCAUUCUGAUUGAUAACUCUGACUAAAAUAGUAAAAAUGGAUUUUCGUCGUUUUCGUCUCCCAAAUAAUUUUGGUAGGACCUCGUUAAUAAUCGGUGGGAUAUGUGGGAUGUACGCUCUAAUAAGAUGGGACGUGGAUACCUACAUGAAAAAGGUGGACAUCAUAAGAAAAGAAACCGAAAAAACCUAUGGGAAAAGCAAGUAAUUAUUGAAAAAAAAAUAACAUAAUCAUUAAAAAGUAUGUAAUUUAAUUCAAUAAAAAUAUAAAAAUGAUUGAUUGAAUAAAAAAAAAAAAAAU